GUGGAAAUAGGGAUCGCACCUUAUCGGUCAUUUUAAAUUGCUCCUUAUGAAAACGGCAGGGUAUGAAGCCCAGCAAAAAUUUUAAGACAAUCUUCAAGACUUCCUUGACUUUAAAUCUUUUGAAAAUUACAUGAGAAUUGAGAAUUCAGUAAAUAUCAGGAACUGUUGAGAACGUAUCAAGGUAAGUUAAUUUUUCAGGAAUGUCACAAAGUUCUGUCCUGGCUUGUGUGGCAUGUGCUGAAAGUUGGGUUUCCAUCUGAUUUAAAUUCCAUAAUUUCAAAGAUCAAUGAUGCAGGGUUGCCACAGUCAUAGAAUACCAGGAAGUCUCAGGGAAUUUUAAAAGUCAGAAAAAACUUUGAAAUGCCAGGGAAAAUGAUGAGAAGGUCCUGAAAAUUGUUUUUAAAGUCACCUAUAUUUGCUCUCUAGAAUGGGUUUGAUGUUUCGAACAAAGGAUUUUGCAUGAACAUUUUUUCAGUUUAUGUCUAUUCAACCGUCUUGUAUAUCUUUCAUUCCUUGGGAAAUUUCCCAAAAUGUUUCAGGUAAAUUGGGAGUUAGUCAGGGAAUUUAAUUGUCUAAAUUUUGUGGCAACCCUGGCGAUCUUAUUCUCCACUUUGUAGUUUCCCUCUGAUCACAGCUGCCUGAAUCAGUGAAUUCACACCACUCAAGUAGUAAUUUAGUAAAUUACUAUAUUUCUUAGAUUUUCUCUGAAUUUCAAAUUUUUCAUUUGCUGUUUUUCUCUGAUUACUAAUUUUUUUUUCUCUUAUCCAUGUUUUCUCCAACUGUCCUCUUAUUUGACGUUGUCUCUUGCCCUAAAUUGUGUCCCUGUUAUAUCCUCCUGGCGAAUCCCUUUAGCCACCGUCUAAAUGGACUCGAAUAGGCAAAGUUGAGCCCAUCUCUAACACUGCUUUGACUUCAGUUGUAUCUAAUCUUGAUCAGGAAACUGGUGGGAAAGCAUGGCCUAAUGUCAGCGGAGACGCAAAAGCACGGAGGCGAAAAUGUAUCGACUCAUUUCCGAGGACAAGCCAAGUUUCCCCCUCCAGUCACGGAAUUUUUUCAAUCAUGUAAUGGAAAACAAAGAAGUAAUGAAAGCUCUAUCCUUACUCUCCAUUAGCUCUCAAAAAAUAAAACCAGUCAUAACUGAGUUCCUUGAAAGCUGGUCUCCGUACAAAUUUUUAUGGGAAAAUGUUAUGAGUAAGAAAGCAGCUCAUACCAUCGGACUAGUUGAGGCAGAAGCCUCUCUUCGUAGACACAACGAGCUGGAGAGUGAAUUGAAUAUAGUCCCAGACUUGUACACUUUUCGAUCCUGUCUGGUUGUAUCUGUAGGUAAGAAUUCAUUUAAUUAUCAUCAUCUCAUCCUAUACUUUUAUGGAACCAUUAGAUGCUGCUCAGAACUUUUUUUUGCCAAUUGUCGUCACAUGCUUUUCAUU
rnacentral:lncRNA from 1 species